ACCGUGCAGCACUCCUCAUCUUUUGACUGUCUUUUACUCUCUCUCUCUACAUCUUCUCUCUCUAGAAAGAUUUGUGCUGUACUCUGUGGAAAGAUUUGCCGUUUCUUGCUUCUGGGUUUUUGGCUGUUUGUCAGGUAGGGGGCUUUUAUAGUUAUUACAAAAGUGGCAACCGAUCAAAGCGACGACCAGUAUGCGGUGGUAUAGUCUGUCCAUCGACGUGUUUCGCAAAGUUAUCUCUUUGAACUUGUACUGCCGCGUCAUUCUCUAAAACCCCGUCAAUUCGAAAGUCGCCUUUUUUAUUUCUCAAAUUUUCGUAUUCCUCUUUGAAUCUUUUGUUAUUCCAAUGGGAUCUACUCACUUUGUUGUCAUUCCACACUUUGUUCGCUGCAUAAGUUGAACUUUUUCUUCUACACCCCUGUAACUUUGGCAGCCCAUUUUUACUUUUUUUCUUAAAUAUUGUCUUUCACACUCGUCUCGAUAUUUUUAUUUGGAUUAAGUUUUUAGUGAUCUUUCGCCGGAUCAAGAUUAGUUAUUUAUUUCCCUUCUUCGAGCAAAGGAUUCUCAAAUUGUUAGAAAAAUCUCCGAUCAAAACUUUCGGUGUGAUUUCGAGUGAAGGUGGUUUGGCAAAAGUAGUUAUGGUAAGCCAAGCAGCUAGUCAGACAAGAUUUCGUGAAUUGAAACACGAGAAAGGAAUUGCCGGUUGUGCCACCAUAAUCGUUAGAGUUAUAGUAUGCUUUCAACCCCUUCAAGAUUGCCAGGCCGAGUAUUUUCGUCAUAUGCUUAAACCCGUUACGUAGAUAGAUUUUUAUUUUCACUGCAUUCAAGUUAAUAAGCUGGAUUUUCCUUAUUAUUUCUGUUUUCACCCCCACACGAGACGACAAUCAAUCAAUUACUCUUAGGUCAUUCAUUAACUCUGCUCGAUGAAAAGGACCUCCGGAUUUGGAUAUCAUCAUCAUCUGAUGUCAGCUAAUUCGACUUUAUCCGGUUUUCCUUUCGAUGCGGGCCGUCACUAUUCGUUUGAGGAUCCGACAUCGAGAAAUGUUCCCCUGCUUCCAUGUAAUGGGUUGCAAGAAUCAAACGCAAGUGAACUAAAUGUUUCAAGAAAUCAUUUUUACGAUGUGCCCAGAGAGAAUUUUCACGCGGGCCCCACCGAGUUAGGACAGCCAAAAAUUCCUACAGCGCCUGCUCAUCAGAAGAGAUUUCUCGUCUUCGAUCAAUCUGGUGACAAAACAACAUUGAUGUACACUCAAUGGUCACCAAAACCUCAUAACCCGUACAAUUUGAAUAAAGAAGGGCCCACGUAUAGUAACUUUCCUUCGAGGCCAAAUACGAAAGAUGAAAUCAUCGAAGAUAACUC